CCAGGUUAGACCUGGGUGGUCCAGGUUGUUUCCAUGUUGGACCAGGUUAAUCCAGGUUAGUCCUGGGUGGUCCAGGUUGUUUCCAUGUAGGUCCAGGUUAAUCCAGGUUAGACCUGGGUGGUCCAGGUUGUUUCCAUGUAGGUCCAGGUUAAUCCAGGUUAGUCCUGGGUGGUCCAUGUUGUUUCCAUGUUGGUCCAGGUUAAUCCAAGUUAGUCCUGGGUGGUCCAGGUUGUUUCCAUGUUGGUCCAGGUUAAUCCAGGUUAGACCUGGGUGGUCCAGGUUGUUUCUAUGUUGGUCCAGGUUAAUCCAGGUUAGACCUGGGUGGUCCAGGUUGUUUCUAUGUUGGUCCAGGUAGGUCCAGGUUAAUCCAGGUUAGACCUGGGUGGUCCAGGUUGUUUCCAUGUUGGUCCAGGUUAAUCCAGGUUAGACCUGGGUGGUCCAGGUUGUUUCUAUGUUGGUCCAGGUUAAUCCAGGUUAGACCUGAGUGGUCCAGGUUGUUUCCAUGUUGGUCCAGGUUAAUCCAGGUUAGUCCUAGGUGGUCCAGGUUGUUUCUAUGUUGGUCCAGGUUAAUCCAGGUUAGUCCUGGGUGGUCCAGGUUGUUUCUAUGUUGGUCCAGGUUAAUCCAGGUUAGUCCUGGCUGGUCCAGGUUGUUUCUAUGUUGGUCCAGGUUAAUCCAGGUUAGACCUGAGUGGUCCA